CAGCCAACAAAGCAAAUUCCCUCCCAGAUGGAUAAUUGACCCUCCUUUAGACGUCACUGUUCCAUCGAAAAAAAAGUCCUUGGCCAGAUGCUGCCCCUGAGCUCUCAUCAAACGAAAGUUGUCAAUUAGCACUCAAGAGCUGCCAACUAAAUCUACAACAUCUCAAUCCAGGCGCAUCCGAAAGAGAAAGAGUGAAAUCAAAGUGAUCCGUUCACAAGUCUCUACAAAUUCUGAACAGAA